UGCAAGUCGAGCGGGACACUACGGGUAGCAAUAUUCGGAGUGUUCGGCGGCGCAAGGGUGCGUAACACGUGGGCAAUCUGCCGUGAAGCCCGGAAUAACCUCGAGAAAUCGAAGCUAAUACCGGAUGUGAAUUUUGGAGGACAUCCUCUGAAAUUUAAAGCUGGGGAUCGUAAGACCUGGCACUUCACGAUGAGCCCGCGGCCUAUCAGCUAGUUGGUGAGGUAACGGCUCACCAAGGCUAAGACGGGUAGCUGGUCUGAGAGGACGACCAGCCACACUGGAACUGAGACACGGUCCAGACACCUACGGGUGGCAGCAGUCGAGAAUUUUUCACAAUGGGCGAAAGCCUGAUGGAGCGACGCCGCGUGGGGGAUGAAUGGCUUCGGCCCGUAAACCCCUGUCAUUUGCGAACAAACCUUUCCACUUAAUACGUGGAGAGCUGAUUGUAGCGAAAGAGGAAGGGACGGCUAACUCUGUGCCAGCAGCCGCGGUAAUACAGAGGUCCCAAGCGUUGUUCGGAUUCACUGGGCGUAAAGGGUGCGUAGGCGGUUGGGUAAGUCUGACGUGAAAUCUCCGGGCCUAACCCGGAAACUGCGUCGGAUACUAUCCAGCUAGAGGAUCGGAGGGGAGACUGGAAUUCUCGGUGUAGCAGUGAAAUGCGUAGAUAUCGAGAGGAACACCUGUGGCGAAGGCGAGUCUCUGGACGGUUCCUGACGCUGAGGCACGAAAGCCAGGGGAGCAAACGGGAUUAGAUACCCCGGGUAGUCCUGGCCCUAAACGGUGCACGUUUGCUGUAAGAGGAAUCGACCCCUUUUGUGGCGAAGCUAACGCGUUAAACGUGCCGCCUGGGAAGUACGGCCGCAAGUUAAAACUCAAAGAAAUUGACGGGGGCCUGCACAAGCGGUGGAGUAUGUGGCUUAAUUCGAUGCAACGCGAAGAACUACUG
rnacentral:rRNA from 1 species